ensembl:lncRNA
UUCACCAUACACAAAAAUAAACUCAAAAUGGAAUAAAGACAAAAAUGUGAGCUCUUAAAAAAUAAAAAUACUCAAAGAGAGCACAGACAGUAAUGUUUCUGGCAUCAGCUGUAGCGACUUUUUUUUUUUUUUUUUUUUUUUUUAGAUAUAUCUGUGGGAAACAGAACAGCACAAUGACCACAGGCGCAAAUUUAUUCAGGCUCCAAGAUCCCUGAGAAAACUCGAGAUCAUAAGGUUAAAAAUAACGUGAAAGGAUUUGAGUGAACUUGGGAAAUGUGGUCUGUUCUUUAGUACACAGAUAGGGAUGUUUUGCUUAAAGGAAGUCAGCUGUAUAAAGCACAGUGCAUUCACUCCCUUCUUUGUCUUUGCCUCUAUCGUCAUGAUUCUUAUCAGAACAUAUGUGUCUGCAAGACUGCUGUCCUACACAACUUCCUUCGCCGCCCCGGGUUCCCGGCCCAUUGAGGUGGAAAAGUGGUGCCCGAACAGGGACCUGAAGCCCCCUCUGAGGAGUGAUAGGCAAGCGUUUGGAACUCUACAGAAGGCGGUAAGUAGGAAACUUGUUUACAGGGUAAUGGUGCAAUCACAGCCAAAAUUUUCCAGUUUUGCUGCUGUAAUAUAUAAUUUUCUAAAAGAAUAUGGAGCAAAAGUCACUAAGCAUAGCAUUGAAAAAUGUUUAGGAACUGAUAAAAUACAAUCCUUGGUUCUCCGAAGAGGGUUCUUUGCAUAAAGUCACGUGGAUUUGGGUUAAGAAUGUUAUGAAAGCCAUGCGGCAAGCAGAGACUAUCUCCCUUGACUUCUGGCCUAUACGGGCUCUAAUAAGAGUUGUUAUUAAUACUAUGGAGACUGGGGAUAAACCUUCUCCUGCUGAGAUUGCUAAAGAAACGGCUGCCUGUCUCCAUACUUAUGAGUUAGAUGAUGAAACCUGACAAAAGUUUAAAACCGAAAGUAAAAGAAUUUUUGUGGCGGCUCAAUCCUGACCUUUAUCCAUGGCUCUGCCACCACAAGAUGGGUCAGAGGAGGAUUAUCCCCCUCCCUGAAUAUCGGAGCUAUCUUCAUCUAGGCAUUCAUGACUCCCUAUUUCUUCCCUGGAGAGGUUACUCUGGUGUCAAGGAGGGAGUGACUUGUUUAUGGUUUUCCCUAUAAACAACUCAAGCCGCUGGGCCAGACAAUGAAGGCUUAGACUUAAAUACUUUAAGAUAGUUAAAAAAAAGGCAUGCCAUUUGUACGGACCUACUGCUUCCCCAUACGAUAGAAAUUCUGAAGGCAUGGGUGGCUUCAGGAGAAUGGAUACAUUUGACUGGUAUGUGGUGCCAUGAGCAUGUCUUAAACCCCAAGAUCUUUUACAAUGGAAAAUGUGGCUGACAGAUGCAGCAUACUUGAAAUCUCCAGCUAAUAGAGCCAAUCCCCCUAUGCAACAUAUUUCUUUUGAAAUACUCACGGGAACUGGUAUUUUCUCAGGUGUAUGAGAACAGUUGGUGAAUACACCACCAGGCGCUACUGCUCAAAUUUCUAAAAUCUCUUUAGCGGCUUGGGAAAAAUUAACCCCUUCAGGAGAAGUAGGACAAAGCUAUAUAAAAAUUAUACAGGGACUCACAGAGCCUUACACUGACUUUAUUUCUAGGCUUAAGCAGGCUAUUGAACGACAGGUUGGCAGUAAGACUGCUAGAGAGAAUUUACGGAAACAACUUGCCUUUGAAAAUGCUAAUGAAGAUUGUCAAGCUGCUAUG